UACAGAGGCCUCGAGCGUUAGGCGGAAUCACUGGGCUUAAAGCGUGUGUAGGUGGAUGCCUAAGUACCUUGUGAAAUCCCACGGCUUAACCGUGGAACUGCUUGGUAUACUGGGUGUCUUGAGCCACUCAGGGGCUACCGGAACAAAUGGUGGAGCGGUGAAAUGCGUAGAUAUCUGGAGGAACACCGGUGGCGAAGGCGGCAUCCUGGACCAUGACUGACGCUGAGGAGCGAAAGCGUGGGGAGCAAACAGG
rnacentral:rRNA from 1 species